rfam:Hafnia alvei FB1, complete genome.
ACUGCUUUUCUUUGAUGUUCCCCAUAUUGAGGAGCCCGAUAGUCCCGCCUUCUUAGGUUCAAGACUACCGGGUUUUUUAUU